UUUAAAUAUUAACAACAUUAAACGGUUGUGAAUGAAAGAAAUUGAAUAUUCAAGAGCGUACCUUGCAGCAUACAGCAUUUUGAUUGCCUGUUCGUAGUUCUUUUUCCUCAGCAACGAAUGGAUGCUCUUCAAACAAUCUCCUCUGAAACAUGGGGAAGAAGAACGGAAGAGGCCGAAUCGAACGGCGUGGGUAGCUCCUGUUGCUUAAGUUCACCAUUUUCCAGCAACGAGGCAAUGGUUGGCGCUUCUUGCAGCCAUCGAUUUUCGAUAUUUUCCUGGAAGUUGAAAUAUUAACGAAAUAAUGAAUUGAAUGUUGGGGAAAAAGGACAAUGUUGAAUUACCUCUUGCUCUUCGGUUGUUUUUUUACGGGGUUGCUUUUUAGCCUUCUUGCGCUUUGCUUUCACCCGCUCCUGUACGCGCACCGUGCCCUUGCAGAAUCGUUGCAACAUGCUAAAGAACAGAUGCGCCACUUCUAUGACAUCUCUUAGGUGAAGGGUCGUUUCACGAUACUCUACGACGUAGAAGAUGUUGUUCUGCAGUACCGAGAGAAGCUCGGAAGCCGCUGUAUCCUUAAUCUUUUCCAGCGCAUGCAUAUUGUUUAGAAGCUCCCGGUACGUCUGGUGAUGAAACAAGAAAAAUGUAUUAAUAAUACAGCUUUCUUCAACGUUGCUCGGAAUUUACCUGUAUA